CGAGGACGAACGCUGGCGGCGUGCCUAAUACAUGCAAGUCGAGCGAAUUUUGGGAGCUUGCUCCGUAAAAGUAGCGGCGGACGGGUGAGUAACACGUGGGCAACCUGCCUAUAAGACUGGGAUAACUUCGGGAAACCGGAGCUAAUACCGGAUAAUUCAUAUCUACUCAUGUAGAUGUGCUGAAAGACGGUUUACGCUGUCACUUAUAGAUGGGCCCGCGGCGCAUUAGCUAGUUGGUGAGGUAACGGCUCACCAAGGCGACGAUGCGUAGCCGACCUGAGAGGGUGAUCGGCCACACUGGGACUGAGACACGGCCCAGACUCCUACGGGAGGCAGCAGUAGGGAAUCUUCCGCAAUGGACGAAAGUCUGACGGAGCAACGCCGCGUGAAGUGAUGAAGGUUUUCGGAUCGUAAAACUCUGUUGUUAGGGAAGAACAAGUACGAGAGUAACUGCUCGUACCUUGACGGUACCUAACCAGAAAGCCACGGCUAACUACGUGCCAGCAGCCGC
rnacentral:rRNA from 1 species